GUUGAGUGGGUAGUUGGUUGAAUAGUAUAAUCUAAUGGUUGAAAAUGAUCUGAGGAGUAGAUCUAACGGUAAAAAACUUAUAAGCACCAAAUGCUUGAUACUUUUACAAGCACCAUAGUUGGACUAUAUAGAAUUGAGCUCCUAGGCUUUUAAAAGUACCAAGUUAUUGGUGCUUGUAGAUUUUUAGCCGUUGGAUUAAGAGAUAUGUGGUUAGGAUGAUAUGGGCCCCCUAGGGUUGAGAGAGUGGUUGGUUGAAUAGUAUAAUCUAAUGGUUGAAAAUGAUCCGAGGAGUAGAUCUAACGGUAAAAAACUUACAAGUACCAAGUGCUUUGUACUUUUACAAGCACCAUAUCUGGACUCUAUAUAUAUAUAUAUAUAUAAAAGUAAUUAUUUAUAUUUUUUUAAUUUUUUUGAUUUAUUUAUUUAUUUUUUAGGAGACUAANCACUUUGUUUUCGAUGUUCGGACUUUCGAAUCGACGAUCAACUCCGUUAGACUUGAUCUAGAGUAUUUGAAGUAUCUAGAAAAUAAAUUUUGCUAUUUUUCGAUAUCAUUUGCCUAGUGAUCGAAGUGGCUCAAAAUCAACGGCUGAAAAUAAAAAUCUUACAAAAUAUGAUAAUAUGACAUUAAAAUUUUAGAUCAAAGUUAUUGAUCUUGUUUUAUAUGUUAUAAAAAAUUUUCUAUCAAAAUUUCAUGUGAUUUGGAUAUUUCUACACCGUUAAACUUGCAACCGGCUCACCACGGCCAUUAAAAUUAUUGAUUUUGAGCCCCUUCGAUCACUAGGCAAAUGAUAUCGAAAAAUCACAAAAUUUAUUUUCGAGGUACUUCAAAUACUCUAGAUCAACUCUAACGGAGCCGAUCGUCAAUUUGAAAGUCCGAACAUCGAAAAUAACUUGGAAGCACGAAGGGCUCCGUGCUUCCAUAAGCAUACCAGCCCACUCUAUAUAUAUAUAUAUGAGUAAUGCUUCUAUACUUUUUUUUUUUAGUUACCGUUCAUUCACCCGUAUUUAAUGGCUCAGAUUUAGUUUUUUUAAAAUUAUGACCUGCAAUAGCAGGUUACUUUGGAAGAGGUACCGGUUACCAGGUACCUCAAAAAAGGAUAUUUUUGUCUUUUAAUAGAUGGGCAAUUUAGUCAUUUUACAUCUAUUAUAUUUUCCAAAUUUUUAUUUUUUCUAUGUUUCCUUUUGCUCUCUCUAUCUUUCCUUUCAUAAUUUGGCAUUUCAUAUAAGAAAAUUUUCAAAUGAUUUGACAAUAUGAUCAUUGAAUUUAAACUUUAAAUAGUAAUAUGAAAUUCCUCUANAUCUCUCUCUCUCUCUCUCUCUCUCUCUCCCUCCCUCUACGUACUUGCAUAUAAUCAUGUUAAAAUCUUUAACACCUCCCCCUCUCGGAUAAACAUAAGUUUAUACUCUAGAAAAACCGGUCUAGAUGGAUCUAAAACCGUUAGUUUCGAUUGGUGCACAGAUCCUUUAAAAUAUAUAUAUAUAUAUAUAUAUAUAUAUCUCUCUCUCUCUCUCUCUCUCUCUCUUUUACCGAUAUCACGAAAAUUUUCAUAGCUCAUAAACCAUGAACAUUUAAAAAGUGACAAUCUAGAUAAAAAAAAUGGUUAAGGUGGUGAAUCUAAUACGAUAAUAUGGCUAGUGAGUGAGUUGGUAUCCCUGGUGAUAAUAAGAUUAGGACAUUUAGAAGUACAUUUUCAACUUUUGGAUAUUUGUGACUACUGAACCACGAAAAUUUUCAUAUCCUCAAGUUAAGAUAUAUAUACAUAUCUCUCUCUCUCUCUUGAUCCAAGAACACGAAAGAUUUCAUGCUUCCGGAGGCAUGAACAUUUAAUAAAAGCUACUAUCUUUAGGUUAAGCAGUUAACCAUAGUGAUCUAUACUAGUCAUCACAACUUUGAUAAAUCUUUUAUUUAAAAUAUUAAAACAAUAAAACGAACGGAUCACUUAUUCAUCGAAGUUUUACUUACCAUCUUUUAUUUUUUGAGUAUUUUUCAUCACCGUUUUUUAAGUUUAAAAUUUAGCCAUUAUAAUUUGAAUGAGAACUACAAUUCAUCUUAAAAGACCAUUUCAAAAUACAUUAAACCUAAGAAGAUAUGACAACUUAAAUGUUUUCACGAUAUAACCGAUAAUUUUAUCAGUAAAAACAUAUAUAUAUAUAUAUAUAUAUAUAUAUAUAUAUGUUUUUACUGAUAAAAUUAUCGGUUAUAUCGUGAAAACAUUUAAGUUGUCAUAUCUUCUUAGGUUUAAUGUAUUUUGAAAUGGUCUUUUAAGAUGAAUUGUAGUUCUCAUUCAAAUUAUAAUGGCUAAAUUUUAAACUUAAAAAACGGUGAUGAAAAAUACUCAAAAAAUAAAAGAUGGUAAGUAAAACUUCGAUGAAUAAGUGAUCCGUUCGUUUUAUUGUUUUAAUAUUUUAAAUAAAAGAUUUAUCAAAGUUGUGAUGACUAGUAUAGAUCACUAUGGUUAACUGCUUAACCUAAAGAUAGUAGCUUUUAUUAAAUGUUCAUGCCUCCGGAAGCAUGAAAUCUUUCGUGUUCUUGGAUCAAGAGAGAGAGAGAGAUAUGUAUAUAUAUCUUAACUUGAGGAUAUGAAAAUUUUCGUGGUUCAGUAGUCACAAAUAUCCAAAAGUUGAAAAUGUACUUCUAAAUGUCCUAAUCUUAUUAUCACCAGGGAUACCAACUCACUCACUAGCCAUAUUAUCGUAUUAGAUUCACCACCUUAACCAUUUUUUUUAUCUAGAUUGUCACUUUUUAAAUGUUCAUGGUUUAUGAGCUAUGAAAAUUUUCGUGAUAUCGGUAAAAGAGAGAGAGAGAGAGAGAGAGAGAGAUAUAUAUAUAUAUAUAUAUAUAUAUAUUUUAAAGGAUCUGUGCACCAAUCGAAACUAACGGUUUUAGAUCCAUCUAGACCGGUUUUUCUAGAGUAUAAACUUAUGUUUAUCCGAGAGGGGGAGGUGUUAAAGAUUUUAACAUGAUUAUAUGCAAGUACGUAGAGGGAGGGAGAGAGAGAGAGAGAGAGAGAGAGAGAUAUAUAUAUAUAUAUAUAUAUAUAUAUUAUAUAUAUAUAUAUAUAUAUAUAUAUAUUAUGCAUUUGAAUAUCGUUGGCACAUACUAUGCGACCCCAAUAAUUGAAUCCUAGAGUGAUUAUAUUUCGGUACGUAAGAGUUCACACUAUAAUCUUUUUCAAGAAUAGUGAUUUAGGUCUUACAAGUUGUUAUAAAUGAUUCAUAUUAAAGCUUUUUCGUAUAUCAUUGAUAAGACUAGCUGAAUGUUUCAAUACUUAAAUUUGGGAGGAAAUUUUUAGAUCGUCAAUGCUAAUGACUUAAGUUGUUAAAGAACGAUAUUGCUGUAUUAAUUAUGUACCCAAAAUACUUUCUAAUGUCUCGAUUUAAGAUAACUUUUUUAUUAAUAUCCGUGAAUGUGGAUUGUGAAUUAAGAUAGGUGCUUUUGCUAUUUAUACUCAAUAAUAAAGAGUGGAUAAACCCAUGAAUUAGCAAGAAUAAUCUUCAGUGGAAAAUUAAGUACUAUACAAGUAGAGGGUCAGGUCAACAAAUCCUUUUUUUGGGACCAAACUAGCUAAAAACUUAAACUUUUGGGUUAGGUUUUGUGGUCUUUGGACUUGUGUUUGGAAUACUAUUCAUAAAACAGGAAUAUUGUUUUGAUAGCGCCGUACCAAAAAUGAUGAUGAAACCAAUAAAAAAAAACUUUGAGAAGAGGUACACUAAGUAGAAUUAAACUGAGCUGAAAAUAAAGAAAAUGUAAAUCAAACUCUCAUAUUACGUUAAAAAGAUGCAAAAUAAUGUGAAACAAUUGCAGCUCUUCAAAAAUUGAGAUAGUAGAGAACGAUGUUGUAAUAUUAUGUACUGAAAAAAUUCAAAUCAAUCCAAAUACAUAAAAACUAAUAUGUCGAAAUAUUCUUGCAUACUAUAUAUGUACAUAUCGAUAUUCUUAUUUAUAAUUAACCAAUGCGCGAUUAACAUCCUUAACUCAAUAUACUUAAUUACCAACUGCCCCUAGUACAGAUGGCAAAAGGCUUGAUGGUCGAUCGGUACCUGAUCGAGGUCCCAAGUUUGAAAUCUAGUUGUUUCAUAUUUUCGAUUAAAUUCAUUUUUGUUAAAAAAAAUAAACAAAGCUAAGAUACUUAAAAGAAACCUAAUUAAACAAGAUUCAUCUAGAAUUAAUGUGUGUUGUUAGGAGUACAUCACUAUUGCUUGUAGGGUUGGGACUUUUGAGAUUUAAAUAGUAGCCAACAACAAGGACAAAUUUGGAGGUUUGUGGUGGAAAUUACUCUUUUGUCCAGUAGAGUUAGACUUAUAUAUAUUCUUAAAUUAUCACUCUUUUAUACAUGUAUAUAUAAAUAUAUAAAUAUAUAUUAAUAUUGCAUAGAACUUUAGAUCGCGUAUCCACGUAACUUAGUUCAUGUCCUUAACUCCCUCUAAAAAUUACUUGAGGUUCCACAAUAGGUCAAAAACCAGUAGGUCCUUUCAUUUUCAAAUAAAAAUCUGCAAGCCACCGUCGUCAGCGUUACGACUAUUUCUCAAUAAUUUAUCAGAUUGAUUUGAUGGAUAUCAUGAUAUUAUAUUUAGUCAUAAGAUCUCUUUGCUAUAAGAGUGCUCAAGUUUAAUAUAUUAUCUUUUCGUAAAUCUUUUCUGUUAGUGCAUGUGGUAUGAUUUACACGAUCUGUAUCAUAUACUGAGUGAAAUAAUAGGUUAAAAUCUCUAACUUUUGUAUCUACAUAUUAACUCUUUUUUUUUUUCAAUUACUUUAUUGAAAGCACUUUUUGUAAAAGCUAGCUAUAUGUAGUUCCGCCAAACAAACACGAAGAUGUCAACAGUGAUAUACACAACGCAAUAUUGAUCAAUGGUUGGUGAUGACACGUUACGUUAUUGAUAUAGAUAAGAUGUGGCUUUCAUUGAUUGUAUUGCAAUAAUAAAUAGCAGUGAUAUCCUUUUCCAAAGUGCUACUACUAGAAGCAAAUGCAGUUUUUUUAGUCGCUACAUACACUGUCGAGCCACAUAAAGUUUGGUAGUCACAUUGACGGAUCCUAGAAAUAUCGAAAGUUCAAAAAGUGUCAAUUCGAAAAAGAAAAGCCGAGGAAGCGAACAAAAAAAAAAAAGGAAAAAAACGAAUAUUGGGUGGUAUUUUUUUACCGGCAGAUUCUCACAUAUUUCAGAACUAUCAGAACUGAAGUUGGGCACUGAAUAUAUAUUCAUCUUCUUUUGAAUGGCAUCGAAGAAUUUUCUGAUAUACAAUACUCGGCCAAAAGGGAUAAAAUUUUAAUAUGUUUUUUUUCGAAGAAAAAGAAACGCCGAAAAUGUUUUGCGAUUUGCGAUCCUAGAUAAGAUCAGUUCUUUUCUCUUUUAAAGUUAUCGAGUUUACAAUACAAAUAUUUAAGAUAUGAGAAAAUUGAUCUAUGUUUUUUUCAAAAAAAAAUAGAAAAGGAAAAAGUAAAUUAAGGUGAUUCAAUCUGAGUCUUGCUCAAGUCUCGAAUAAAUUUAAGGACGUAGUUGAAGAAAAAAAAAAAAAACCUUUCCUGGUCUGGUCUAUUGGACCGGGUCCACGCUGAGACAAAGGGAAGCGUAGACCGGCGUAGUACAAUGAGACCCUUGUUUCUAUUUUCCCACGCUUUUCGUUGGCGGGUUUUAUUAAUGAGGGGUCAAAAAAAAAAAAAAAAAGGGAAGGGGGAGGGAAUACACGAGGUGUGACACGUGGCGUCUGGCCGAGGAGGCGUUGCAUGUGGUCGUAGCCGCACGAAUCGGAAGGGAUCCGAGGACGCAGUCCAUGUCACAUCCCAAUCUCACGAAGAAUUGUUAGGUGGACCGCGUUCACCACACAAGCCGUGAACCGUUCACUAAUCAGCCGUAUGUAUUGUCACUCUUUUUUUAUUAAUUAAUCACCAAUUUUUCUUUUUUUUCUUUAACAAAUAUUAAAAAUACCAAAAGUCCAUAGAUGAUAGUGAUAUAAAGAUUAAAAACAAAAAUAUGAUUUAGGAGACAAAAAUCUGAAAAAAUUCAUAAUACUCUGUUUGUUUGUACACGAAAUUAGCUAUAAUUAAUAUUUAGAGAGAUAUUUAAAGUUAUUAUUGUUAUGCUAUCCAGUAAUAAUCUAGGAUUUGCUUUAUCUUAUUUUUACUUCUACUUGUGGUGACAAAAGGCUUUAGCAGUGGAUUUCAAAAAGAAAAUAAAAAAUUUAUAUUUCUUGUAGAGAAAAAUAAAAAUACAAAAAAUUUGAGUCCAGUGAAAAAUAUUUCAACUUGGUGCUUUACUCUUUCUAAUAGUACCUCUUAGAGAAUAAAACUUAAAUAUUUGGUUUAUUUCCAACAACGGAACAUCAAAUUUGGCGAUCGACACUACUAAAUAUAAUCUAAAUUAUUUAAAUUUUUGAAAACUAAAGCCCUUCAGGCUUCAAUACCCUUAGGACUGGACUUUUGUUUAUUAUGCACAAAAGAACCCUGCUUGAUUCACUAAUUCAUAGAAAGUUACUGAACUUUUGAAUUUGAAAAAUAUUUCAGAAAAUAUUUUUAAUAAUAUUUAUUUAUCAUUCAAGUGGUUUCAAAAUUAAUAAUUUUUAAUAAUUAUUAUUGUCAAAAUAUUAUAAAAUACAGCUCCUAAAGUAUUCAAAUAACCUAUUUCAUAACUAAUUGUUCUCGCCAUCGAUUCAAAUAUCUUAUUACAGGGUUGGCAAUCCAUUUCGAUGUUCACAAGUUAGCUCAUAUUCGCUGAAUUUUAAUUAUUAGAUUAACACUCUAAUUUUCUUUCAACUUUUUACCUAAUAGUAAGGCUAAUAACCUAACUAACUGUUCGUGAGCCGAUUCGUAUUGAGUUCGUUAAUAAACAAGCCGAACACGUGCUAAAUAUUUUAAUUCGAUAUUUUAAUUAGUCAGCUCGUAUUCGCCUCGCUGAUAGCCCUACUCUAUUAUUAGAAACGAUACGAAAAUAAACUUUAUAAAUAAUAUUGUGUCCAAACAGUGUUAUAUCACAGAGCUAGCGCCAAAACACAGAAUAGAAGAUUGGGGGAGGGAGCACAUGGUUUUGGCCGGUCUACGGCCGAGGUGGUGAGCCGAGUCCAUGGACUGAGGAGCAGAGCUCGGGUCCUAGUCGAAGGAGUUGACCGGUUCUCCCACGUGUGGUGCGCCGCGCCAAUCGGAACCAAUUUGGACUCAACGGACGCGGUCAGAAUCAGAUCACCUCGACCCAUGCGACCCGAAUCCCGGUCCGCGUCCUCCACCCCCCACGUCGCUCCACGUGGCCCAUCAAAAUUCGUGCUACGAUCGCUUAUCCACGGGAAGAGUAGUAGUUUCUACACAGGUCCCUGACUUUUUAUGAAAUUUGUGUCCCUUUUUUUCUAUAUACUAUAUAUAUAAAUUCUUGAUUUCUUCCUACCAAGUUUUAGUAGGAUUUAGAGAUAUUUAUAUAGUAAAUAUAUAUAGCUGAAUUUUGAAUGUGUGUCUAUGUUUCUGUGUGUGAAAUUCAUAAUUAAAGUACUAGAUUAUUAAUGAGAGCUAAUUAACAUUAUAAUUUUUAAAAAACAUAUGUGUAUGAUAAUUACAAGAACGAAUCUACAAAGUGGAGAUUAGAAGGAAAAAUAUUGAUAAGGAAGUGGCUUUUUUCAUGAAUAUUAAGUUAAAAAAACUCAUAAACUUCAUAUUAUAAAAAAAAAAAUAGCUAAAAGUUAUUAGCAAUUAUCUAGAAAGUAAAGGACAUAUGUGUAAAUUACUCCUUGUCAUAGCCUCUCUUAUUGCACCAGUAGGAAAAAAUUAAAAAAAAAAAACAUCUUGAGACUCCUCCUUAAACACAUCACACAUCACACAUCACACAUCACACACCACACACCACACAUACAAACACACACACACACAUCUCCCCCUCUCAUCAUUUCCCUUCUCUUCUUCUUCUUCUUCUCCUCUUCUCCUCUUUUUUUCUCGAAUUGCGGCGUUACGCGAUGAUGAGUUCGUUUCUGGGCUCGAAUCUACGGCCGAAGAUCAGCGGCGCGCUCGACUUCCCGAUGAUCGUCAUACGCGACAACGAAUCCGGCGCGGAGAAGCGGCGCGUGGUCGACGAGAUGGACUUCUUCUCGAGCGAAAAGAAAGAGCGCGUCGAGCGGAAGAAGGAGUCGGACGCGAACGUCCCCGAUCUCCGCAUCAAAAAAGAAGAUCUCACCAUCAAUGUUAGUAACAAUAUUUUUUUUCUUUUUUUGGUUUUUAUUUACAAUAAUUUGUUAUUUUUUUGGGUAUUAUACAUAGAUGGGUUUACACGUUGCUUCGAGAAACAGUGUGAUCGAUCGCUCGGUAGAUGAUGGGUUGUUGUCGAACGAAGAGGAGAAAGAAACCAAAGCUGAGGUAAUUAAUUAAUUGAUUAAUGAAUACUACUGUUUUUUUAAGCAUUAUUUUUGGUGUAUAUAUAUGUAUUUUACAUAAUUUUAAUACUUGUAUAUAUGGUUUUGAUUAAAUUAUUUUUUUUAAUUAGUUAGCAGCAGUGAGAGCCGAGCUUGGGCGCAUGAACGAAGAGAAUCAGAGGCUUAAGAACAUGUUGAGCCACGUAACGGAAAAUUAUAACUCACUUCACAUGCAUCUCAUCACACUCAUGCAACAAAAAAACCAAGCAAUCCAUGAGGUAUAUAUAUGUAUAUGUAUUAUUUAUUUAUUUAUGUUUUCAUAUAGUAAAUUAUUUCGAUCUGAGCUAGAAUGUUUUUAAAAGUAAACUUUUUCUAGCUUUAGUUUAUUGCAAUGAUAGAGUAUGCGAGUUAACAAUCAACAACAUUAAAUAUGAUUUAUGAUUCAUGAAUCUUUUUAGAAAUUUUUAUAUUAUUUAUCUGUUGAUUGGUUGUUCUUAUGUAUACUCAUAUUAGUUUUAUUGAAAUUGUGAAUUUUACGAUCACUCGAAUACUAGAUAAAUCACAAAAGUUUGAUGCUUCAAAAGUUUAUGUUUAACUUUGUCUCAUCAUUAAAAAUAUGAUAAAAACACUAGCUAGUUCUAAUUGUUAGCAACAUUAAAACUAAAGAAACCAAGUUAUAUGAUUAAUCUCCACAUAGCAGGUCAACGGCGAAAAGAUCGUCGAAUCGGCGAAAAAGGGUUACGAAGGCGCGAUCAUGCCGCGACAGUUCAUCGCCCUCGGAUCUGCGGCUUCGCUCGUCGACGAGGCCUCGCACUCGACGACCGAGGGGGGAAGCGGCGACCGAUCCGCGGGCUCGCCGACGGUGAACAACAACCACGAGGUGAUCUCGAUGGAUUAUGGACUAAACAAGAGCAGCAGCAACAGCAACAGCAAUAACAACAACAACAAUAAUAAUAUAAGCAAGGAGAGAUUAUUGGAUGGGAGAGAUCAUGUGAUUAGGGGCGCUUUUGUUAGAGAGGAGAGCCCGGAUCAAGUGUCGCAGAGUUGGAGCAAGGGAACCAAGUUGAUGUCACCUACAAAGAGCUCGGAUCAAGUCCACGAAGCCACCAUGAGAAAGACUAGGGUUUCGGUUCGAGCUAGGUCCGAAGCACCUAUGGUACGCAUGCAGAAGUGUUAUUUGAGUAACGUUAACGGUUUGAAAUGACAUUAAUAAAUGUGCGUGAAAAUUUUCUCAAUUAGUUUUCCAUACAGCAGAAUCAGAAGCAUCAAAUUAGAAAUCUUCUUUGGUUCACUUUCUCUUGUUAACUUGUUGAAGCUAGCUUUUGCUUUUCGAAAUAGAAAAAUUGUUGUAGAAGUAAACUUAGAUGCACAAUGAUUAAGGAUUUACUAAUUUGGUUUUACUUUUGCUUCUACUCGAAGUAGCAACAAGAGAUUUUGCAGUAGAAAAUUACUGUCCCUCUAGUAUAUAGUAUAUUUCUUCGAACAAUAUUAUUCAGAAAGUAAUUUAUUAAACAAUACUGUAUCUUAUAGCAGGUUCGAACAAACCGUAAGUUUGUUUACAAAUUUAUUGAGUAUAUCGAAAUUAUUUUUCUUUGUAGAUCAGUGAUGGAUGCCAAUGGAGAAAGUACGGGCAGAAGAUGGCGAAGGGAAACCCCUGCCCCCGGGCCUACUACCGCUGCACCAUGGCCGCCGGCUGCCCCGUCCGCAAACAAGUAAUUCUUUCUGUCUUUCUUUUCUCACCUACUAUCGUAUGAAAAUUUCUAAAAGAAUUUUUAUAAAACAUUUUUCUUUGAGACUGAACACAGAAAUUCUACAUUGACUGCAGGUGCAAAGAUGUGCGGAGGACCGUUCUGUGUUGACAACCACCUACGAAGGCAACCACAACCACCCGCUCCCCCCCGCGGCGAUGGCGAUGGCGUCGACGACCACGGCCGCCGCCUCGAUGCUCCUGUCGGGCUCGAUGUCGAGCGCCGACGGCCUCACGCCACCGAACUUCCUAGCGAGGGCCGUGCUCCCGUGCUCGUCCAGCAUCGCCACCAUCUCCGCGUCCGCACCGUUCCCCACCGUGACCCUCGACCUCACGCAUUCGCCGACCCCGCUGCAGUUCCAUCGACCGGCGGCUCCCCUCGCGUUCCCACCCCCCGUGCCGCCACCGCCACCGCCGCCGCAGCUCUUCGGGCGGGCGCUUUACGACAGCACGAAAUUCUCAGGCCUGCAUGCGUCGGCCGGCGGUGGCGGUCCCGACAACGCGAAGGUGGCGGAUUCGGUCAGCGCGGCGACCGCAGCCAUCGCGGCGGACCCGAAUUUCACCGCGGCGUUGGCCGCCGCGAUAACUUCGUAUAUCGGAAAUAGCGGCAGCAGCAGCGGCGGCGGCGGUAGCAGAGUCGAGAACAUGAAAAAUAACAAAAUAUAUGAUAACAAGGAUUGUAGUGAUCACAACAUGGGAGGAUAACUUAAACAUAGAGCUAAUUAACUAUGAGUCUUAAUCAUCAUUUUGUUUUUUUCUCGUUUUUCUCUCUUUGAUAAUUAAUUUAAUUUAUCAAGAAUUAAUCACAAACGCAGUGUUCUUUCUUUUUUCCAACUUUGACCAAGACAAAGACAAAACCGAGAUGCAUUCUUUCUCGUGAUCGACUUUGGUUUACAAUUUUUUUUUUUUGGUCCUAUUUUUCAAGUACAUUAUACAUUUAAUUUAUUUUAAACUCACUCGCUGACGAUCAGAUCGAUCUUUUGAUUAACGUAUUGUACAUAAUAUAAGAAUCAAAUUCAAUAAAUCAGGCCUACUACUUACUAAAACGAAUACGUUAAGUGAUAAUCUUUUUCUCUAUAAAAUAUCUGUAUAUAUGAUCAGCGAUCACCGAUCGAAUAGUGCACAGACGUAUGAAUUCGGCAAUGUAGGCAAUAAUUUCUGUGAAGUCGCUUUUGGGCACACAAGAAGCGCGAGGAGGAGUGCUGGUAGGGUUUUGAAACAUAGAAAUGAGAUUAUUAAUUAAAUUAUUAAAUAGUUAAGUAAGGUGGGGGGUUAAUUUGGUCAUGAGUCCUACAAAAAGGGGAGCUCAUUUUGUCAAACAUUUCACCAUCUGAGGUUGCUAUGAUUCCCAGGAGUACUAUCUCCUUGUGUAAUUAGCUGUGCAUGUACAUGUACAUGUACAUGUACAUGCACAUGCACAUAUGUGUGCACAUGUCAAAGCUAAUUUGGCUUUGUUAUAUAUAUAUAUAUAUAUAUAGAGAGAGAGAGAGAGAGAGAGAGAGAGAGAGAGAGAAUCCGGCUACUAUACUAUCUAUAGUACGGGAGCUCCCGUACUAUAGUGUUGUUUUCGAUCUUUGGGCGUUCAAAUCAACGAUCCACACCGUUAAAACUGAUCUAGGGUAUUUAAAGCUUUUAGAAAUAAAAUUUUAUAUUUUUUCGACAUAGUUUACUUUAUGAUCAAAACAUUUCAAAAUUGUCAAAUUUCAAUGGCUAUUAUGACGAAUUUGGAGUUUAACGGUGUAGAAGAAUCUAAAUUUCUUCAAAUUUUGAUAGAAAAUUUUUUAAACUAUAUAGAUUAAGGUUAACAUUCUUGAUCUUGAAUUUAAAAGUCCUAUGCUCAAAUUUUAAAGAGUAUUCAAUUUCCACCGUCCAUUUUGACAUAAUUUAUUUACUAAGUAAACGAUAUCGAAAAGAACUAAAAUUUUAUUCCUAAGAACUUCAUAUACCCUAGAUCAUAUUUAACGGUGUGGAUCGUUGAUUUGAAUGCCCUAAGAUCGAAAACAACACUAUAGUAUGGAAGCUCCCGUACUAUAGAUAGUACAGUAGCCUAAUUCUAUAUAUAUAUAUAUAUAUCCUAUUAUGAGAUCAUCACCCUGACAAGGUAGUUGGCAUAGUACCAUUUAAUUUCUCCAAUAUAUUCCACAUUUUGUAGUACUAGCUUUUAAAUGGCUUUGUUGUUGUACUUGAAUUAAAUGUAACUAUAUAUGUGUGGAGGCCCACUACAACAAAACUAUGGUUUAGCGGCGAUUAUUUUUUAAAUUAGCGACAAUUACAAUUGCCGCUAAAAUAUUUUAUGGCAAUUUUAACAAUUGCCGCUAUUGGCGGGGUCGCUAAAAGUUUUAGCGACAUUUAUUCCGGCGGUUGGUAAAAAUCCAAAUAAAUGCCGCUAAAUAUUAUACAAUAACGACUAUUAUAAAUGCCGCUANGGGGAGGGGGUGGGGGGGUCCGCUCGCGACAGAGAGAGGACGCGGGUUGAUCCGGUCGCGAGCGAAUGAGGUCGAUCGAGUGGGUUGGGUUAGGGUUAGGAUUAUAUUUAAUAUAUAAAUAUUUGUUUGUUUAAAAUAUAUAUUUGAAAAUAAUUGCCGCUAAAGUAUAGUAAAAUAAUAAUAAUAGCGGCCGUUUUAUAAUCGCCGUUAUUAAAUUGCCGCUAAAAAGUAAUUUUGGUGUAGUGGCCCCCUCAACUAUAGGGAUAAUAUCUUGUAUACUUUUUAAAAUUUUAAAAUUAUUUAACAUAUUUCUGAUUGGCCAAAAUAUCAUUCUUGAUUUAUGAUUAUUCCUUCAAAUAUUUUCAAAACCCUACUAGGGUUUACUAAUGAGAUAUCAUUUUGGGUUUUAAAAAGGUAUUUUGAUAAUUGUAGAAUUAAUUUAAAAAUUUUAAAUAGUAGUCAGGAGUCAAUAAGAAAAAACCCCUUUGAAAUAUAUAGGCUCCUAAUUCUAUUUUUUUUAAGCAAUGUUAUCGAUCUAUACACUGAAAUUAGAAUUCUAUAUAUAUAAAGAGAUAUAAUUGGUUCUACUACUUUCUCACGUGCAUUCUAGUGAAGAAUUUUUAACUGUUCUGCACUAUACGGGAGAGUACCAGAGAUAGGAGGAUAAACUAGAUAACCCAAAUUCAGUUAGUGACAUUCAUAUCACAGAGAGAAUUUCUUUUCUAUGAGCUAUGGUGCUCUGUGAGUUAUUUUUAUUUUUAUUUCUCCACGCAUAAAUCUUGCACCCUAACUUUGGAAUGGCUACGAUCCAUCUACUAGUCUUAUUAAUUUUUUUAUUAAAAAAUUUAAGAAUAAUUUUUAAAAUUUUAGAAUUCACGGAUGUAAAAUGUACACCUUUAUAUUGGAUAUAUGUACAUGCAAUUAUUUGUUUAUUUAUUUUUAAAUUUUUUUUUAGCAAGGAGUCGGGAUGUUUGUGGGUAUAGAUAUAUAUGUAGCUGAGCUUAAGGUAAAAUAGAAUCUGAAUUGGAGAAAUAUUAAGGAAUAAAUUUAAAAUUGACCAAGUUUGGGUUCAAUUAUAGUUUUUGUAACUCUCCAAUCCGAACCCAAAACAAAAAUUGAACCCGAAAAUUUAAAUUGGUAGAGAUUAAUUUCGAUUUGUGAAUCCUAAUUAAAUUAGUUAUCAGAAUGGAUAUUUAAAUUAAUUGGAGAUAACUCAAUAGGAUUUAAAUUUAAAUUAAAUUAGGAAUGAAUCCUUGAUGUACAUAUAUGGCCUAGGCAACGAAUUGCAUGCACCGCGUGCAUGAUUGUAUAUUUGUAUAUAAGAAGAUGCACAAUUGUUUUGGCAUGGGUCCACGGACGAAGCCUGAGCUUGGAUCUUAAAAACUUUUUAUGAAGCAAAUUAUAAUAAAAAUUCGAUAUAUAAGUCACAAACUCUUUCCAAAAAAAAUUUAUUUUGGUCCUUCGAAUUUAUACUAUUUUAGUUUUUACUAUUUCAUAAAUAGAAAUUUUUAUGUAAUUUUUAAAAAGUUCAGAAGGGUCAUGAUGCACAAAAACAUGAGAGAUAGGCAAGAGAGAUUUAGAAAGAGGGUUCAAAUUGUAGCGAUACUAUGCUCUGCAGAAAAAAAAAAAAAAAAAGUUUGAAAUUCUUUCUCUUAGUUAAUAAAUUUUAUUUACCUGUAUUUUUUGUUUGGUUUUGUUCUCUUUUGUGAUUGAUGAGUUUAUAAUAAAAAACGACUAAACAAUCUGAAUGUGAGGAGUACCGAAUAUUCAACAAAUGGUAUCAGAGCGGAUUGCGGAUUCUAAACAAUGUAUCGGCCAUUAAGUUACUGAGUUGUAUUAAUUAUGAUAUUAUGCAAUUAGUUGUUAAUUCAUUAAGAUUUUAAAUGUUAUUUGAUAUGAUUUUUUCAAUUUAUAUAUAGAGUUGUAAUUAAUCAAAAUCAAGUUUUUGGUUUUGAUUUCGAUUUCGAAUUUUCGGUUUUUCGACGGGUUCUAAUUAGAUAUAUUUGGGCUUAUCUGUUUUGGGCCAGGCCCAUAGUAUUUGGGUGUUCUAAUUUUUUUUCUCAUUUUAAAAAACAUGAUCAAUGUACCAAAAUUUUGCCUUGAUUUUUGUUAAUAAAUUUUCAUUUCAAAAACAAAAUCAAAGUGAAUUUUUGGUCCAGCAUUUAGUAAAACUAAAUUGGGCUAAUUCAAUAGAACCAAACCAAAUUAAAUCGAACACAAUUUGGUUCGACCAAACGAAUCGAGAUUUUUUUUUUUCUUAUCUCUUUUUAUUGAACAAAUUUUUGUGCUUCCCUUUUGGUUUAGAUGAAAAAGUAAUCAAAAACUUUAUUUUCUUUGCUACUUACCGCUAGUUUUUCGGGAUUCAAAGAUGAUUUUGAAUCGUUUAUCUGUCAAACAUCUGACAAUUGCUUUUUAGAAUAAAAAAGUCAUUUGAAAAACUUUUAGUGAACGGCCUCGAAAAAGCGCCAAAAGUACUUUUUAGCCAAUAUAAUCGCGGUGGGCUGCAGCCCAAACAGGUUACUACCGGGCCUAUUGCUUGGUUCAAAAAUGGCUCCGCUUACCUACCGUCCCUAGAGCAAGUGGCAAAGGGCUUGGUGGUUGGUACCUGAGACCCAAGUUCGAAGCCUAGUUGAUUCACAUUUCCAGCUAAGUUUAUUUCUAAAUAAAAUAAACGAAGCGGGUUGCGUGCUACCUAUCUCAAAAAAAAAAAAAAAAAGGGCUCCGCAUUUGCUUCCAGUUUCAGCUGUGGUCAUAUAUUAUGCAGUAUCUUUGAAACUACAACAGUUUGAACUCUCUAUUGUACGCUAUAAGCAAUGUAAGUGCUGCUCAUAAUAACACUUCUGGGGCAAGCCCUAAGAAUGGUAGGCGCCAGGACGAGGUUCGACUAUCUUCGGCAUGACCUGAACUUGACAUCGUGACCAAUCCCCCGUGCAUAGAAAGAAGUGGAUCCAACCUAAAUCCGACCUCGAACAAUUUUCUCCUUCGUUAGCACUCAAUUAGUAAGAACGAAGUUUAUGCAGAAGUGUCGCAUGAAUAGAGUUAUUUAGAAAAGUACUUCAUUGGUUUCGCCAAUUCAAAUGAAUAUUCAUCGAGUCUUGAACUCUGUAUACAUAUGUCUCUGUGUGUUCUAAUUGAUUCAGCUAAUUAUACUUACAACAAUCGAGAAACUACCUCAAAAUUCAGGUCAAACACGUCGUUAAUAUUGACAUGUAUUGUAGCAAAAGGGCUAGCAUUCUAUUUCUUGGCAAAGGUCGGAGUGGGCUGAGUCACAAUCGAAAUCCGCAGGCGCCGUAUGACCGUUCACUUUAAGUGAAUUCGUUGCCCUCUUUCCAAUUAUUUGAAAUUGGAAAUUAAUUUUUUUAAAGGCUAUUACGACAGCAUGAGGCAAACAUUGCAAUUAAGGAAAUUACACAAUCACAAGAAAAUCUUUGAACUUAAGAUCCAAACAGCGAGUUACCGACAGUCCCUAGCGCAAGUGGCAAAAGGGCUUGGUGGUUUGUAUCCAAGACCCAAGUUCGAAUACUAGUUGAUUCACAUUUCUAGCUAAAUUUAUUUCUAAAUGAAAAAAACAAAGCGGGUGCCGGGUAGCAUGCUACUUUUCUCUCUCAAAAAAAAAAAAAAAGAAAAAAAUCCAAACAGUGAGUCUACAGUGACAAAAAUGUCCUACUCUUAUUGUUGUCAUAUGCCAACAAAUAUAAAACAAACUGAAUAUGCCAAAUUAGGACAUGUGUUCAUUAUGUUGAUGUUAGCGACAUAAAACCAUGCUGUGCCACUUUCAAUGGGCCCACAAUAGGAGAUUUGUCCAUUUUUCCCUAUCUUUCUAAGGCUGCGUUUGGUUCGGGUAUAACUAAGAACUGCUGCUUAUUGUAAAAAUAGGUAUAAGUUUAGGAACUAGAUCAAUUUUGCAUUUGGAUGAAAAUUGGAUUGUUUCUAGGAAUGAGGUAAAUAGUGUUUGCACAGUUAAAUUGAAAUAAAGGGAAUAAGAGUUAUAAUUUUAAAUUAAAAUUAUUUUAUCUAAUUAAUUAACAUCAAAAUAUUACAUAAAAAAUAAAUUAAUAUUAAUAAUUAUAAAUAAUAAAUUAAUUAAAUAGUAAUAAAUUAUAAAUAAUUAUAAAUAAUAAAUAAUUAUAAAUUAAAAAUUAAUUAAUAAAAAAUUAAUUAGAUAAUAAUCUAUAACAAUAAAAAAUUAUUAAUAAUUAUAAAUUUAUAAUUAAUUAAUAAUUAAUUAAUUAAUUAUUAAUAAUAAAUAAUUAUAAAUAUAAAUUAUUAAAUAAUAAUAAUUUAUUAUAAUAAAUUAAUUAGAUAAUAUAGUUAAAUAAUAAACUAAUAAUAAUUAGUUAUUAAAAUUAAUUAAGUAAUAAGAAAAUAAAUAAUAAAUUAUAAAUAAUUAUAAAUUAUUAAUAAAUUAUAAAUUAUAAAUUAUUAAUAAUAAAUUAUAAGUAAUUAUAAAUAAUAAAUAUUACUAAUAUAAUAUAAUAUAUAUUCUAAAUUAAUUACAUUCACUCAAUAAAAUUAUUAAUUAAUUAAAUAUUAAUAAUUAUAAAUAAUAUAUUAUGAAUAAGUAUAAAUCACAAAUUAAUUAAUUAAUUAAAUUUUAAUUAAUUAUUUAUAAAUUAAUAAAUUAAUUAAUAAUUAAUUAUGAAUUAAUAAAAAUAAAUAAAUAAUUUUAUUAUUUAAGCAAUAAAUAAUAAUUUAAAUAAAUUAAUUAAAUUAAUUAAAUUAUUUAAUAACAUAAUUAAAAUUAUUUUUAAACUUUAAUUAAACUUAUUCUUACCUAGGAACAAGUUUGUUCGAGAAAAAAGGUAGAUCAACAGUUCCAGCUUUUUACUAGCUUAUUCCAGAAAUCCGAGAACUACUGUUCUCGCGUACCAAACACAUUGUUUGGGAACAAAGGAGGGAACAAGGGCUCAUUCUCCCCUUUGUUCCCGAACCAAACGCUACCUAAAGGUAGUAGUAGCUUGGGUAACCCUAGAAUUAUCCCGCCAUUUAUAUAGUUAAUUAGUCAAUAAGAAAGAUGUAAACUCAAUCAAACAUUGACCGUAUCAGUAAUUUGUGCGACUUAUAUAUUCAACUGUAUUCUGAGUUUAGAGUGCUAAAAGAAAGGUCGCGGCAUGCAACUGCAAUCUCUUACAACUUUUGUCGUAUGACUGCAUCAACUCUGAACAAAUAGAUAAGCUCAUAGCUCAACUAAAGAAAUACUUCUUUUUUGGCUUCUCUUAAUAUCAGAAUAGAAGCGAAUUGUGAGUUGUGAUAUUGUGUGUCUGUGUGUCUGUGUUUUUUUUUCAGAGAGAAAGAUAGCAAUAUUACCGUUUUAUUUACUUUUAUAAAUAAACAACUAAAAACCCAGUAGAGGCCUAACAAUUACAAAAAAAUAUGGAGUCAUAUGUUGCAUGCCAUUAAUAAGUGGCUACUUCAAAGACCAUGGAUUAUAAAAAUAAAAAGACAUAGGUUAUAAAUAUUUAAUAAUUACCAUGAAUGUUAGGAAAUAAACAGUUGUAACUCCAAAAGAGAUAAUUUAGUAGGGUAUAGUAAAAUCCAAAAUAACAAUAUUAUCUUAUAUUAAUAGUAAAAUGUUCCAACUUUUACUAAAGAUAGCUACACAAUUCCACAGAGAUUUUGUAAAGGUUGUCUUGUUUUUUUUUUAUUAUUCUUUUUUCUUUUUUAAGGGAACUGUCAAUGUUCUUUUCAUUUCUCUUUGGACUAUCCUAGAUAUUUUGCUUCACAUUCCUUUCCUAUAUAUAUGCACUGAAGUAACAAGCUAAUUGCUUCUCAAUUAUUGACCUAGUUGAAAGAAGCUCAUGAAGGUGGAGUGGGAAUAGAGGAUAAAGAGAAAGAAAAAAAAAAAAAAAAAAAAAAAAAAAAAAAAAAAAAAAAAAAAAAAAAAAAAAAAAAAAAAAAAAAAGACAAAAAAUUUAAAAAUAAAGGGAAAUUCACCUCACCCCUUGUUAGGUUUCCUUCUCUAUAAAGAGUGUGCUGAGCUGAAGAGUAGAUACAGAGAACUGCUACAUGUAAAAUGCACAAGCAUUUUGGAGCAGUGCUUUUAGUCGUAGAUAAAUAGUAGGGUUAAUUUCAUACAGAUCUCUAAAAAUGUAGUGAAUGAUAAAUAUAAUUCUAAAAAGUUUAUCUUUCAUAUAUUAUUUCUGCAAAAAUUCUGAUGUUUUCAAAUAUAUCCUUCUGGCUUGUUACCGUUAGAAAGUCGUUAGAAAACUGUUUAUAUUUUCAACUUUGCUAUCACAAAUAUAUUCCUCCAAAAAUUAUAACAGUAUAAUAUAAACGGAUAAAAAUGUUAAAAACUAACUAGGCUUAAGUAUUUAAUCUAUGAUUAACUAAAUUUUUCUAACAGAUUUUACUAGUAGGGACAUAUUUAAAAAAUCAUGAUUUUUAUAGAAACAACAUAUGAAAGUUGAACUCUGUAGGAAUAUAUUUGUCAUUUACUAUAUUUGCAAGGACAUGUAUGAAAUUAACUCUAAAUAAUUAAAAAAAGAGCAAUGCUCCUAUACACCAAACAAAUCUUAACUCUUAAAUUUUUUAAAAUAAACAGCAGUGAUGCUUCUUUUUAAAAGGAGGUGACUAGCUCUUGUCCUCCCUUACCAAGGACAAAAACUUUUCUCAUUACAUGGAGUUUGCGCAAGGGCAUUUUGGUAAAUUUUCAUCCUCAUAAUAUAUCCUCUUUGUAAAACCAGAAUAUUCCAUCUUCCUCGAUUUUUAUACUUCAAUAUUCCAUCUUUGAAUUAAUAAUUAUCUUUCCUAAAUUAGCGUUUUUUUCCUAAUGUAUCGUAUUCAAAUUCAAAAUAUAAAAUGAUGCAUUAUUGAAAGGCUAAAAUAUUCUCGAGCCUGACUUGAACCAAAGCUUAAAACUUUAGCCAAUUUUGAAUUCAUUUGUACGAUUUGAGUAUUAAAUAAAAUUCUAAAACUGUCGCAAUUUUAAAUUUUUGUUGCAUCCAAAAUAAUAUUCAAAUAUAAAAUAUUGCAAAUAACAAGUUAGAAUAUGAAAUAUUAUCCCUAAGUGAAUGUUUAAAACAUUUUGAAUUUGACCUUGUGAUCAAUAGUUUUAACUAAUUAAGUUCAUUACCUUAAUUAAAAUAAAUUAAACUUUUAUGACUUCACAAGUUUCAGUAUAAAUUACACAUUUUCUUCUUAAAUUAUGAGAAAUGUUAUACUUUGGUUGACUAACUUUAAUAAAUUGUAAUUUCAAACUAAAUCUUUUAGAUUAUUGCAUCGAGCUUUACGGUCCAAUUUAAAUAACUGAAUUAUGAUUUGACGUUGAAGUGGUAGUGAUGUAGCAUUUUAGCCAUUCUCAUACCAUCAACUAUAACACAGUCACAUCAUAAUUGUACCACCAACAUAUUACUAAACUGUCAAUUAAAUUACAUUGUAAGAUCUGAAUGCAAUGAACUACAAAGUUCAAGACAAAAAUCUUAAUAAAUUAAAGUUGAAUGAUCAAAGCUAAAAUUCAAUUAGAAAGAAUGUAAUUUAUCGAUAUUCAAAUUUAUAAUUCAAGGUUAAUUUUCAAAGAUAGAAACUUCUAGUUUAAAUAGUUAAUAAAAUUUAUUUUUCAACUAUAAUAUAAAUUAUAUCUAAAUUUUAAUUUUAAUUUUAAUUUUAAUCAAUAUUUUGGAACUUUAAUGAUGUUUUCACUAUCGAACAAACAAUUUGAAUUUAAUUUAAAAAAUAGAAAUGUUUUAUUUGAAUAAAUAAUAAAAGUUAGAUUUAUACGUACAGUAUAACCUAAAAUUUAAAAUAGGUUAACAUAUUUAAACUUUCAUGGUAUUUUAAUAUUAAAUUAACAAUUUGAAUUGACAUGUACUACUCAUUUAAAUAAAUUUUUUUUCUUUCCGAAAAUUAAAUUUGAAUUUACUGUAUAUAGUUAUAAAGUUUAAGCUCAAAUUGGAUUUUAAAUUCAAUGUAUGAAGGUUUGUUACUUAUCAAAUUAGCCGUAUCUAAUUUGGUAAGUAACAAAAUUAAAAAAAAAGAAAAAAAAUAUUUGUUGAAUGUUAUCCAAUUUGGUAAUUAGCUAGUAUUUAUUUUUCAAUAUUGCCCUUAUUAUUGAUUUUUAUUCGUAACCUGAUGAGUAGGUUACCAUUUUGUAAAAACCAAUCUUGACCUUAAAAUAUGAACGGUUAGAUUUAAUUGAGCCAGUGUAUUGAAGUAUUUCUCUUAAAAAAAAUUAAAUAUUUUACUUGAGUCGCUCAUCUCUUAUUCGAAUAGUUCAUGCGACCAGAUAUCAUCUUACGAAAUUUGAUGAUUUAAUAAUGCUCAGAUUCAAUUAAUAAAACGAUUCUCUAAGGCCCCGUUUGGUUUGGGAGAUAAGCAGGGAUAAUAAAAGUUAUCUUCGCUAUUCCACCAAACGGGAUAAUUUUUUGUCGGGAUAUUUUAUGCCGGUCAAACUUUACUAUUCUCGGUUAUUCCGGAAUAGCUUGAGAUUUACUAUUCCACCAUUUUAGUGGAAUAGUGUUAUUCCAAUGCUUAAUUUCAAACUUAAUUAAAAAUUAUAAAUUGAAUUAAAACUAAAUUAUAUAAAUAUAAUAUGUUAUAUAUUAUUUAAAGUUUAAAACUUAAACUUUAAAAUUUUUAAAAUUAAAUUUAAGAUUUUAAAAUUUUAAAUUUUUAAAAUUUAUAUUUUAAAUUCUAAAAUAUAAAUAUAAAAUAUAAAAAUUUAAAUUCUAAUAUAAAGAAAGAGAUAAUAUCAUUAUUUUUAAUUUAUAACUGUUCAUUUUAAUUCUUAUUCCAUCUUAAUUAACCAAACGCUAUUUUGUUUAUUCCCAGAAAUAACCCAAUUUCCAUUCAAACGUAAAAUUAAUCUAAUUCCUGUUUAUGCCUCAAUUUAUAUCUAUCUCCGGAAUAGUCACUUUUUACUUAUCUCUUUUUACUUAUCUCCGAACCAAACGAUACCUAAUAACUUAUUGUCACAUAAAAUAUUAGCUGAUCGAUUUUUUUUUUCUUUUCUUUAAUUUUUUGUCCCAAAUGAAAAAUCCAAGGACUGAGAAAUUAUGUUCUUAAGAUUAAGAUGGAGAUGGAGAUACCUCAUUGAUUGAGAGCGACGUAGUGCGCAAAAAGAUGAACCAACCUUAAUGUUUGGAACUAUUCGUGAUUCGUCCCCCCCACCCCAUCACAAACACCCAAAAGAAGAAAACAGAAAAAAAAAAAAAAAAAAAAAAAAAAANCUAUAGUUUCAUAUUUUUUCACUGUAGUACUCUAUAAUUUUAAGUAUAUCAAUUUAGUAUCAUGUAGUUUUAUUUUUAUCUUUUUAUUAUCGAUUCCACUAAUUUCAGUGACAAAGUUAAAAAACUAAAGGAUAUUAAAGUGAAUAUUCGAUAAACCUAGAUAGGAUAUCUGAAGUUUUUGUAUAUAAUUUAACGAUAACGAAAAAACUAACGAAAAAAUAAAAAUAAAACCAUAUGAUACUAACUUGAUACACUUUAAACCACGUGGUACUAAAGUGAGAAAGUGUAAAACCAUAGAAAUGGUUUUUGAAGUUUACCCUAAAAAAAAAAAAGAAAUGCUUCAAUACACAAGCUCAACUAAAUCCAGUCGUUCAUAUUUUAAGGUCAAGAUUGACUUUUACAAAGCAGCAACCUGCACAUCAGGUUACCAACCAAAAUCAAUAGUAAAAGCAAUAUUGGAAAAUAAAUACUAGCCAAUUAUCAAAUUAAAUAACAUUCAACAAAUAUUUGUUUUCUUCUUUAAUUUUGUCACUUAUCAAAUUAGAUAUGGCUAAUUUGAUAAGUAACAAAUCUUCAUAGAUUGAAUUUAAAAUUAAAUUUGAGCUUAAACUUUAUAAUUGUAUACAGUAAAUUCAAAUUUAAAUUUAAAUUUAAUUUUUAGAAAGAAAAAAAUUAUAUUUAAAUGAGUAGUACAUGUCAAUUUAAUUUAAUAUUAAAAUACCAUGAAAGUUUAAGUAUGUUAACCUAUUUUAAAUGUUAGGUUAUACUGUAUGUAUAAAGCUAACUUUUAUUAUUUAUUUAAAUAAAACAUUUCUAUUUUUUAAAUUAAAUUCAAAUUGUUUGUUCGAUAGUGAAAACAUCAUUAAAGUUCAAAAACAUUUAUCAAAAUUAAAAGUAAAAUUAAAAUUUAGAUUUAACUUAUAUUAUAGUUGAAAAAUAAAUUUUAUUAACUAUUUAAACUAAAAGUUUCUAUCUUCGAAAAUGAACUUUUAAAUUAUAAAUUUUGAAUAUCGAUAAAUUACAUUCUUUCUAAUUGAAUUUUAGCUUUGAUCACCCAACUUUAAUUUAUUAAGAUUUUUGUCUCGAAUUUUGUAGUUCAUUGCAUUCAGGUCUUACAAUUCAAUUUAAUUGACUGAUUAGUAACUUGUUGAUGAUACAAUUGUGAUGUGACUGUGUUAUACUAGUUGAUGGUAUGAGAAUGGCUAAAAUGCUACAUCACUACCACAUCAACGUCAAAUCACAAUUCGGCUGUCUAAAUUGGACCGUUAGACUCGAUCGAUGUGAUAAUCUAAAAAAUUUAGUUUGAAAUUACAAUUUACUAAAGUUAGUCAACCAAAGCAUUACGCUUCUCGUAAUUUGAGAAGAAAAUGUGUAAUUUAUACUGGAACUUGUGAAGAUCGUAAAAGUUUAAUUUAUUUUAAUUAAGGUAAUGAACUUAAUUAGUUAGAACUAUUGAUCAUAAGGUCAAAUUCAAAAUUUUUUAAACAUUCACUUGGGGACAAUAUUUCAUUUUUUAUUACUAAGAGAUUGCAUAAUAUAACUUGUUAUUUGCAAUAUUUUAUAUUUGAAUACUAUUUUGGAUGCAACAAAAUUUUAAAAUUUGAAUAUUAUUUUGGAUGCAACAAAAAUUUAAAUUUGCGACAAAUUUAAAUUUUUAUUUAAUACUUAAAUUGUACAAAUAAAUUUAAAAUUGGCUAAACAUUCAAGCUCUUGUUCAAGUGAGGCUCAAGAAUAACGGAUAGGCUAAAUCCUUUCAAUAAUGCAUCAUUUUAUAUUUUGAAUUUGAAUAUGAUACAUUAGUAAAGAAAAUUAAAUUAUACAAAGAUGGAAUAUUAAAGGAUAAGAAUUGUGAAAGAUGGAAUAUUUUUGGAUUUACAAAUGGUAUAUUAUGAGGAAGAUAAUUUACAAAAAUGCCCAUAGUGCAAACUCCAUGUAAUGAGAAAGUUUUUGCCCUCGGUAAGGGGGUGACGGGUACCGAUAACAACAAGAGCCGGUCACCCCUUUAUAAAAGAUGCAUCACUACCGUCCAUUUUAAAAAAUUUAAGAGUUAAGAUUUGUUUGGUGUACAGGAACAUUGCUAAAACAAAAGAGCUCAUUUUGCCCAUUAGUCCCUAUUUUUAUUAUGAGUUGAUUUCAUACAGCUUAAUGAAAAUAUAUCAAAUAGUAAAUAUAAACUUAUAAAGUUUAACUUUUCAUAUUUAUUUUUAUAAAAAUUCAGUGAUAAUUGAUAUUUAUAUUUGUCCCUCUGGUUUGUUACUAUUAGAACAUUAUUUAUUCUUUAAUAAAAGAUAAAUAAAAUGACAUUUUUAUCAUCACAAAUUUGUCCUUCUAAAGUCCUAAUUAUUAAAAUUAUGUAGAAAUAUCCUUCUAAAAAUUUUCAACGGUCAUUUUUUUCGUUCUACCAUCACAAAUAAUAUAAGAGGGGUAAAAAGAUUAAUUUACCUUAUUUACUAAUUAGGGUUAAGUAUUUUACGUACGAUUAGCUACAUUUUUCUAACGGAUUCUAAUAAUAGAGAUAUAUUUGAAAACGUUGGGGCAAUUAUAGAAAUAAAUAUGAAAAAUUAAACUUUGCAGGGAUCUAUUUACUAUUCGAUAUGUUUACAGGAAACUAUAUGCAAUUAACCCUUUUAUUAUUAUGUAUUUUUCUAUUAUUCAAAUAGGUUUUAAAAUUUAGAAUAAAUGUUGAAUUCGGCUGUAAAAUUUUAUAAAAAUAAGUUUGCAAAUUAAAGUUUGUCAUAAUUAAUGUAUACAGUUAAACUAUCAAAUUGAAUUAAAUUAUUUAAUAAAUUUUUAAUUUUGAUAGUGCAUGUAAAAUAUCUUAUUUAUCUAUUUUUAUUUAUUUGUGGACUGCGAUUUGACCUAGAGGUUAAGAUGGGCAAUGAUUGAUAUAUAUCAACUCAUUUUUAGUAAAAUUUUAUAAUUUAAUUUAUUACUUAUUUUUUAUUUUAAAGUUUAUUUAAAAUCGUAGUAAAGCACAAAAAAGCAAUUAAUAUAAUUUUUAACUUAGGGGAUUAAAUGAAACAUAGAACAUUCUAGUUGUGGAGCAAAUUAAACACACUUAAAAUAUCUUAUCUAAGCUACCACUUAACUUUAAAUAAAUAAAAAGUGUAAUGUUGAGUAGUUGAUUCUUCUUAUGGCUUAUGAGGUGUGAUUUUUUUUUUUAAAAAAAAAAAAGUCCUUGGAUAAGAAUCUUAGGUAAAUCACUCAUUUGUUACGUGAACUUAUCACGAAAUUUAAAGUUUGCUGUAAUUGCUCCUGUAUUUAUUUUAAGUGUGUUUAAAAUCUAAUAAUUUUGAUAAACUUUUGUUGAUCUUCUAUGUUGGCGUUAAUUAAUCGACAGAAUUAUUGUUCAGCAAUUGUAAUUAAAUUAAUUUUUACCCUGCAUACCAAAAUGUUCCGAAUACAAUACCCACAUCAUCAAUUUAAUGGUAUAAAUUUCAAUCUCUAAUUCUAUUAUCUUUUUCGUUAGAAGUUUUUGAGAUGAUUCAUCUGAUUUUUAUUAUAUGCGAACUUUUAAGACUAUUUAUGGGUAUAACGAACGCAUUAUUGUUCAUCACUAUUAUUUUAUUUUUGGCACAAACAGUAGGAUGAACAGUAGGAUAGAUGAACAGAUCGAAUAAAUUUGCUGUAGCGAAAUGAUUGAAGCGUAAAUUAAAGUUCAUUGGAUCAAACGCCGACGACAAAUAUAUAAGUGAAAUGUUUGUGAUGGUUUUAAUACUAGAUGAUAUGCACCAAGUCCAAAUAUUUACUUCAGAGAAUCAUAAUCCAUGUUACUUGUUUUUUGAACUUUUUAUAUCAUUAGCUUAGCUUGAUUGGACCAAAAAGUUAAUUUGUCCCAUAAGAAUCCAAAUAUUCGGAUGUGUGUGGAUUUAAUUUGAGCAGUGAAGUUCGAUGUUUCUCGGAGGAGUCAUGAGCUGGUUUCCUACUUCUCAACUCGAAUUGGGAACCAGAAAGAGCUCUCCGCGUCGAAAAAUUCUAGAAUGCAACAGGUAUAUCGGUGACGUGGCGUAACAAACCAAUCAAAUGUCUUCUUUUAGAGGUAUAUAUAUAUGCCCUGUCAUGAUUAUAAAAAGAAUAAAUAUAAUUGGCUUGUGAUUGAUGACAUAGCGCAAGUGUGACAGUAUAGAAUUUCUCGCAUCCCACGGGGUAAGUGGGGCCCACCCGAAAAAUGGCGUGGUUCACACAUGCCCAUCUUGCACGCGGUCAACGAGGUGGGCUUCACCUUGUGGACGGCUGGCUGAGACGGAGGCCUCUCUCUCUCUCUCUCUCUCUCUCUCUCUCUCUCUCUCUCUCUCUCNUAAAUAAAAUAAUUUUAAUUUAAAAUUAUAACUCUUAUUCUCUUUGUUCUAAUAUAACCAUCUAAAUAUUAUUUACCUUAUUUCUAGGAAUAACCUAAUUUUCAUUCAAACGCAAAAUUAGUCUAGUUUCUGUUUAUACCUGAACUUGUAUCUAUCUCUAAAAUAAACAGUUCUUAUUUAUUCCCGAGCCAAACACAACCUUAGAGCUUAAUCCUGAAAUUGUUGUAGGCGAGUCUCCAACAAGGGAAAAAAGCGACGAUUCACGCGUACGCGACAGUUUUAAUGGAGAAGGUACCGAAGGAUAUAACACAAAACAAAAAUAAAAACCACGGGAUACUUAAAUGAUGCAGUUAAAACGAUAUGAUACUAAAGUGGAAACAUAUUAAACCACACAAAAGGUAUCUAAUUUUUUCUUAAUAAAUUUUAAGAUGAAUGAAAUGUAAGAUGUACAUCUAUAUAUAAGAGCGCAGGUAGUUUUUUUUUUAUUUUUUAUUUUUUUAUUAUGGCGAGAGUAAGGGAAUUCGACUUACUGCCACACUGGUAGUUGCGGGGCACCUGCCGGCCGCAGCUCUCGACGAUCCUGACGGCCCGGCCGACAUCGAUGAGGGCGGCCAGCUUCGGCGUGAUCAGCGGGCAGACGCACUCCUCGUGCGCCCCCCGCAGGCACUGGCAGCACUGCAGGCUCGGCGGCUGGCCGUACAUCACCGGCUUGCAGGCGUUGAUGCCGGCCGUGCGUUCCGCCUUGCAGGCCUCCGGGCUCAGCCCCGCCGAGGCCUGCACUGCUGCCACCACCACCACCACUGCUGCUGCCACCAGCACGGCUUUUAAAGUGCCUCUCUUCAUCACUGAAUUGUAGUAAAAGAAGUAACUCUUUCUAUACAUAUAUCAGAAGUGCAUGCACCACUCUCUCUCAAAGCCUUAUUUAUACUCUUUUAUGAAUUGGGAACCAAAGAGAGCUCUCCGCAUCCCACGGGAUAAGUGGGGCCCACCCGAAAAAUGGCGGGGUUCACACAUGCCCAUCUUGCACGCGGUCCACGAGGUGGGCUUAACAUCCUGGACCGCUGGCUGAGAGUCUGGCUGGGAUACUAUCGAUAGCAACAAGGGUUUGAUGCUAUCGAGUUUUCCACCGUUAAAUUUAAUUCUUUGAUUUUUUUUAUCCGUUAGAUUAUACUAUUCAACCAACCACUCACUCAAUCCUAGAGGACCCACAUCAUUCUAACCGCACAUUUUUCAAUCCAAUAACUAAAAAACUAAUAGCACCAAUAGCUUGGUGCUAUUGAGUAUAUAAUAAUUUAUUUUGGGAACUAAUAAAAAUAGUGCUUUUAUUUCAAUUAUUUUUUAUGUUUAGAGACUUUAGGGACCAAAAAUAGUACUUUAGUUUUCUUUUGCUUAUCAAUUUUGGUCUCUAAAAUUUACAAAAUUUUCACUUUAAUCCCGAAAUCUAAAAAUUCAAAAUUUUAAAUUUAAAUCCAAAAUUAAUCUUAAAAUUAAAAUUUUUAACUAAUUAGUAAUUAUAAUUUUGAAUUAUAAGUUGAAUUCAAA
rnacentral:lncRNA from 1 species